UACGAAGGGUGCAAACGUUGCUCGGAAUCAUUGGGCGUAAAGCGCACGUAGGCGGCUUUGCAAGUCGGAUGUGGAAUCCCUCGGCUCAACCAAGGAAGUGCAUCCGAAACUGCAGAGCUUGAGUACUUAAGAGGAUCGCGGAAUUCCCGGUGUAGAGGUGAAAUUCGUAGAUAUCGGGAGGAACACCAGUGGCGAAGGCGGCGAUCUGGGAAGAUACUGACGCUGAGGUGCGAAAGCGUGGGGAGCAAACAGG
rnacentral:rRNA from 1 species